UGGUCUUCAUACAGAAGAGAGAAAUGAUAAUAGGUAUUUGCCAGUGUGUUCGACCUAACUCUAUAACCCUGUGCUACAAUUCAGGAAAGCUGCACAAAUGCUACAGUGGGGAUUUCUUUCCUGUGGCACUGGCAUAAGAACUACACUGUGGGAAUAUGAGAGAGUUUAAGGUAUUUGAGCACAAUGAAAUUAUAGCUGUAUUAGUGGUCAGCAAUAAAUUUGAGCAGCCUAGUGUAAAUGUUGACAGCUAUAAGUUACACAUGAAUGGAAAACCAUACCAGGGGAUUGGAUGAAACAAAAACUGAAAAAAAUAAUAGAGAGAAGAAGAAGAAGAAAAAAAGGGGGUAGAGGGAGAACGUAGCAAUCUGCACACCCAGGAAAAACAUGGCAGCGCACCUCCAGCCAUGCUGGCAAUUCAGGCAUGGAAAAAUUACUGAAGGCAGAUCACCAUUAUUAGAGCAAGAAAAAGAUGUCCCUAAUAACUGUGUUAUCUGCCAUCAAAUCUCCAGAGACAAAAAUAGACUCAUUUGCUCCAAGGUUGCAGGGGUUACAGAGUGAGGCAGGAACCACAGAAAAAGAGAUUGAUACCAGGGAUUAAAGAUCACAGCUGUACAGAGAGGAGGUGGAAACAAAUUGGCGCUAUUUCUAAAGCCCUGAUGAAAGAAAAUGGUGCCUUGCUAGGGAAGGCGACAACUGAAAGAUAAAAGUAGAAAGGAAAUGUUUUAAUAUUAGAGCUGAACAAAGUGUUUGUAAUGAAAGUGAGCUGCAGUUUUGCUUAGUUUUGUGCUUUUUCACAAAGCAAGAGCUUGGGCCGGUUUCUCGAGGUGAGCAAUCCUAAGCCAAUUUAUUAUAUCUUCAGGUAAAAAUGAUACAGGGGAAAUUGUGAUUUCACUAGCUUAGAUACAAACCCAGCCAAAUGGGUAUCCAGCCUGGUGCACCGGACUGUUUCACUUUGUUAUUGAGUUUCCUCAGGCCUGACAAUGGCAAAGCAGAGGUUCGUACUUGUGCAGGGCUGGAGCUGCCAAGCUUUGCAAAGCCCAGACUGAGCUACAACACAACCAACUGAAAUAGCUGUUGUAAUGGCUGUCAAAUCCCCUGACACAGCAGGAAUUAAAUUACAAGCCAUUAAGGAUUAGACUAUGAGAUACUGCAGGAAAUGCUAAAGAGGAAUAUUUCCACAGACUCAUACAUCUUGUUGGUAAGACAGGUGGACACAAAAUGCAUGAUUACCAGCACAUUAGACUUGCUCACAAAAUGGAGACCAUCUUGUCUUAACACUUGACCCUGAGAAAUGCUAAGCAGGCUACUCCCCCUCAGAUUAGUGGGAGCUGAGAAAAGGAAAGAAAGUAAUACCCAUUCUUAAAUCUGUCUGCUUACUUGAGAUUAUGUAUAUAGAAGUCUAAAUUUAGCUUCCCAAAUUGCAGAUUUUAAAUAGGGAUGGUCAAAACCUGAAAGAAACAUUUUAGCAAUGUUCUCCCAUUUUUUUCCUUUUUUUCCAAAAUGUCAAAUAUUUCCUGAAACAUCUCAUUUUGACUUCCUGUUGAUAAUUACAUAGUGAUGCUGAUUCAUUAAAACAAUCAGAUAAUACUUAUGCUGCAGAAUUAUAAAAUCCAGUUUGCAUUAGAUGAGCACAGUCUGGAUACUGGAUCUUUGCAUUUGUUAAACCACUUGCCUUUAUUGUUUUUGGAAUCCACCAUGGUUAUCUAAGUGAAAAGGAUACAUUGCAGUGCCGGAGGGGAAUUUGGAAGAAUUUAACAUGUUGUCGGGUAUUUCAUCCUGCAAAGACAUUCUCAUUUUGACUGUGGAGGGGAAUAAUCUAUUAUUUAUAUUCCUAUCCACUACAUACACAGCUCUCUCCCCAGGGAGAAGAUGAGACAAAGAACAAACCAGCUACGACAGAUGUUGCUCAUAUUCUUUCAUAUACUAUGGUUAGGUGUUUAGAUUCUACCAUGGUGAAAGUGGCAUGUAAAAGUAUAUAGAGUGGAAACUAUAAUGGUGUUCUGAGGAGGGGAAAUAGUUUAUGUAAAACAUUCUGCUUCUAACGAAUCAUCCUAGAAGCAGUUACAUCAAGGUAGGGAAUCCACUGGGACACAACUCUACAUGUCACAUCUUGCUUCAUGAUUGUACCCCGUCCCUAUUUUACACCUGAAUAAUAUUUACUUUGCAAGUUCCUAGAUGAAUGCUGCACAAACUAACUACAAGGCCCUGCUGUUCAUGCCACCGUGUCUGAAUUCAAAUCGCAGGGAGCAGAAGCAAUGAGGGCCUUAAAUUAAGGAAUUAUCAGAAGGUAGUAAGGAAGAAUGUUAUUUUCCUUAGGCAGAACACAAUGCAAUUGAUUAAAGAGAGGAAAAUUAAGUAAUGUCAGUUAGUGUAAGACAGUAAUAGUACCUUGUGCAUACAUCUAUUUUCAAGUAGUCUUUGCGUAACUAUGAUUUGUUAAUUAGGAACUAUAUGUGUAACCAAGAAGAUUAUGUGGGUUUUUUUCUAAAUGAAAGUCUGAUCUUCCUUCAGCACAAACUUUCAGUAUGUUUUCUGUUAGUAACAACUAGGAUACUUUUCAGCUGUUCUCAUUAAAAAACUCUAAUUUGUCAAAAAUGAAACUGCUUACAAGAAAAGUUCUUUUUUCAUGUGUUAUUUUAAUGAAAUAUGUUUCAAAAUAUUUGAAAUUUUCUAAAUAUAUUAUCUGGGUGUUUUCGUGGGAAGAAAGUUGAAAUUAUGACCCCCAAUGGCUGUGCUACAUUGUGCUAACUUGCAAAAAAUUUAAAAAAAAAAAAAGUAAUGGUUGAAAUAAAUGUUGAACAUACUAAAACAGUUAAAAAGAAACAAUUCAGCUGGUCUACUAUGAAGUUUCUUGAAAGUAAUUUCAGACCACACCAUCACCAUCAUCAUCAUCAUUAUCAGCAUCAUCUUCAUCACAGUUUAGUCCAACUUUGGACAAGAAAAGUCUUUGAAAUCCUAAAAAUGCUCAUAUAAGUUUGUAUCUUGUCAUUUUCCAGGUCUACUGUGAAUAAAGGUGCUUUGAAAAGUUCACAGAUGAAGGCAGACAAAUAUCCAAUAUCAAGCACUAAGAAAUAAAUUACUAAAUUGCUUGAAACAAACUCAGUUAAAUUACUAGGGUGAAAAAAGCAAGAGAAAUGGAAUUAGCAGCAUAGGAAGUUAUGUCGACAUAUACAAACACAUCUACAAAUAUAGAUGUAGCAUUAUGGAAGGCAAGAACUUCGGGUGAAAAAAUCCUGCUUUCUUCAAAACCAUGUUUAAUAAUACUCGUUAAUGGAAAUCAGUUUAAUUUCUGUAAGUAUUGAAAAAUCCUGUUAUAAAUAAGACAUUUCUCACUGUGAGAAGAGUUUCUUAUGUGUUUCCAUAACUAAGGUAAUUAACAAGUCUGUGGGCCAUUCUGUGUGUAGCCUGUUCCUUGGAAUCUAAACCACAAUUUGGUACUGAUUUAAAUUAUGGAGUAUGAUACCCAUAAUAAAAUGCUGACCAUGGAAACAACACUUCUCCAUGAUCUGGGGCAAUGAAAAUGAAGAUGCACUGAGGAACUCACACAGGGAGUAGUAUUUCCAAAAAUAAUUCUUCUUUUUUCUUUUGAGGAUAUUGGCCAAAUUCAAACUGAAUGAAUAGGAACAGCCAGCCUAGUCCUCAGAAAUUCUGGUUGUUCUACUCCCUGUGUGUUGUCAUUCGUUUACUGCCAAAAAGCUACCCAAUUUCAUAAUAUAUUAUUAAAUUCAUUAUGCUGUUACUUUCCUAAGAUUAAGUAUUGUCUUUUAUUUCUAAAUAACUGUCAAUGCUUAAGUCCGAUUCAAUCAAAGGAUUUUGGCCGUUUUUAAGACACCUGUCCAAAUAAGACAAAUUUCUUGGGAUUCAAAACUCAGUCUUCUUGAGCAAAUGAGCUAAUAUUUAAAUGUUCUACAAACUUCAUGAUUCCACUAUUACACUGCAAAAAUAGCAUAUGAAAAUAGAAAUAACAUUUAUCCCACAUAACCUGAUACAUCUGCAUAGAAUGCUUAAGCAAUAUUGCUAUGAAAUAUAAUCUCUUUCUUUAACAGGAAAUUUGAAAAGUUAAUUAUUUGGCUCUCUAGAAAAAAAAAAAAGGCAAUUCAAUAUACAUUAAUCUAAAAUGUUAUACAAAAAAUAUAUGUCACAAAGAGUGAAGAAAGUUGUUUAAGUGCUCUACUCUUGACUUUCUCUUUUCUUUCCUGUGAUUCAACUUGGAAAAGACCAUUGAUACACUUCUGGUUUAAACCCACUAAAAUGUUUUAGGCUUAGUAUGCAUAGACUACCACUGGGUUUCAGUUCAGCAGUUGCCAAGAAACAUCAUCAUCUUACUGGUUUAUUAAGGUCUUACAUCACCGCUCCACAAAAGCAUUCAGGCCUUCACUGACACUUUGUUGGUUCAGGGCCCGGGUGCAUGGUCAGAUACAAAAUAGGUUUUAGGCCAAGAAUGGUGAAGGCCAAAAAAUCUCCGCUUUAAUUACUGUCUAAGCCUGAAGAAGACUUAACUGUCCAUGCUUUUAGGAGUUCAGACUUUGCAAGAUAUGCACUUUGGAUUACUUUGUGAACUUUGUGUUCUUCAGCAGCAUCUACAUGAGACCUCAGGUAUCUCAGCCAGUUUUGGGUUUUUUGGUUGGUGGGUUUUCAUUUGUUUGUUUCAUGUUGGAUACUUGACAUUGAAAUUGGUGAUUGUAGACCAGUGUGUCAGCUUUUUAUUGCAGAUGGCACAAAAUAUCCAUGGCCAGAAAGCUUGACACAUCGUUUUAUUUUACACACCCUUUGUUUGUCUAAAACAAGUUUGUUUUGCUGAGCAAAGGGUGCUUAUACCCUUGUUAGGCUUUCAAGCUCAGUAUAGAUAUGAUAAAAUGCACAGGUUUUAGUUUUAUUUUUAGCAUCCUCUGUGAUAUUCUGAUGUUGCUUUCUUUAUCAAGGAAGUCCCAAGGUUUAAUAUUUUUAUCCAAAGUUAUGUAAUUAGAUCCAAAGUCAAUUGAAUCAAGAUCCUCAGAAGUAUUUAGACACCUACAACACUGAUGUCUAUGGGACCCAGGAUCUGAAAUGUCGAGGACUUGAAUGUUGGGACCCUUUUGACAAAUUGAGCUCUUGAUGAUAUUCUCAUAGAUAUUUCAAUGAAUAAAGAGUCUGUGUUGUGAACAUAGUCUACAUGGCAAAAUUAUCUGCAGUCUUGGUUUGACUGGAUGAGCUCAACAGAUAUCUGGCACAAGUUUCAGAAGGGCAAGAGAAGGUAAAGCUCUAGGAAUGUUUUGCAGGCAAAAAAUGAAAAUGACUUCUGAGUGGGCUUUUUUUUUUUGUCAGCUCUAGGAUAAGACUACAUGUUACAAGCAUUUGGGACUCAAGAAUGUAUCAGUAACCAUGUUAGCAUCAGAAGCUGCUGCUUGCUCAAUUCCUCCCCCAGACAGAAUUUGAUUACCCAUCUGUACUCAUUUGGCCUCUCAAAAAAGUGGUAGAGAAAUAAAAACAAAGUUCUUGGAAGCUCUGGGAAGUCCUUGUUGAUAAAACUCAAACCACUCACCCAUCUAUAUAGAAUAUGAGAGAAUUCUAUGUUUUUAAGUUUCGUAAGGAAUUCCCUUAAUUGUUCCUGAGAAUUCAUAACUGAGGAUUACAUUUUUUACCACUCAGUGAAAUACUUUCCUAAAGGUAAAUUUUCCCCAGAAACUAAAACCAAAACCCUCCCAAAUAAAAAGUUAUUGUAUUGUAAUACAGUGUUAUUCUUACAGUUUCAGUUCCAAGGAAUACUCUCAAGAGGUUGUGCAGUUAGAAAAUGUCAACAUGUUUUUGUGAAUAUUAACAUUAAUUGAUGACUCAGUGUGGAAAAUUCAGAACAAGUUAGACAAAUACUGUGAAUUCAGUAAGUGAUAAAGCUCAGAGUCUAACUUGUCUUGGUUUGUAAGACUGCAUUUAAUUUUCAUGUUCCUGGGCCCCAGUUUGUCACUUCCGCGGACUCUCGACUGAAGAUACAUUAUUCUGGGACUCAUUCUCUUUUCCGAAUGCUGCGACACACGGGCGGCAUUUAUCUAAAUUACUGUAGUUCGGUAUAAUGUAAACAUCUAGUCAUCCUCUCCUUAUGGAGACUCUAAUGGAAAGCCUGUGAUGUACAAAUUAUAUAAUCUUGAAUACAGUGCCUGAAAUAACUUAGAUAAAUGGUGUGUUGAAAGUACUUGUUUCUUCUCUAUUAAUUAUGAUGGAAGCCACAGUUCAUAUGGAGAAGUUUAUACAAUGAACAAAUAAAGGUACAUCACUUGACUCCCACUUCAGGUGGUUAGAGUAUAUAAAGGUUUUGCAGGUAAAUUUAAAUUUCUUGGAAAAUGAGAUUUCCAAUCAGGGAAGAACAGGUUGCCAUAAAAAACGUCUGUGCUGGUAAGAGAGAGCACCUAUGGGGAUUACUGUGAUUCCAACUUUUUGCAAAAGGCAGACUAACAAACAACAACAAAAAAAUCAGUUCUGUCAUGGAAAAAUAACAAUGGUUCCUACAGGGAUAUAAGACAGAAACCAAACACUGAAGCUGUCCAAAGGAAUAAUACUUUCACAUCUACACACAUGUACGUGUCCAAGGCUCUUGUUAUUAUACUCUGCUGACACUUAAGAAAGCUGCAAAACGUCUUUUGCAUUCCAAAUAAUGAACUUGCUUAAAAAAGCUGUUUGGUUGUUGCCAUCACAUUUCUACUUGCUGUUUGUAAGCAAUACUCAUCCUUGAGACUUUACGAAUGUGACAAAUCCCAUUGAGAGCACUGAUAAUGGGAUUGUGAGUUACUAUAGGGUGGCAAGUACCAGAGUUUAUCUGUUCCUGUAGUAUUCCCAAAUUCUUCUUACAUUCUCUCUCUCGUGUGAUUUGCAAUACUAGGCCUCUUUGCUUUAUCACAUCUCAUAUAUCCCGCAAAGAAGUAGUUUUACAAGGUGAUAAAGAGUUCUGGACAAAGGACUCAAGAGCAUUCAAGUCCAUGCUCUUGUGCAGUGCUGUGAUCUUUCUCUUAGUCGGUUCAUUCCCUCCAGUACAUGUAAACACCUGGAUCUCAGUUGCUGUGACUGCCGUUCUCCUCCUUUCUUCUGUCUUCUGAAAGGUAAGCAAAUAAAAAAUAAAUUUUGAAGUUGCCCAGUUCAGGUUUUUCCUACAAGCUCUGUUUCUGUGUUUGUGCACUUCGUUAAAUGAAGUCAGUCUCAGAGACUACAUGUGCUACUGUGAGACAGAAAAAUGCAUUAAUAUCUGGUUUGUUAGCCAACAUUUAAAAAAUGCCUUUAUGUAUAUUGCAAUGCUUCGGUCUGUCUUUUUUUAUCUUGUAGAAAAAAAAAGAUUGAAUAAAGUCAAUUUUGUUAUGAUAGAAAAAUAAGGUUUUCUCUACCGUUAUUUAAAAAAAAUAAAUAAAUUUUUAAAAAUUGUAUUGAUGAAGACCCCUCUGCUUUUGCAUAACUGCCUCCCUCAGAGUUCUAUGAACCACAAAGCAAGAGACACAGCAAGUAGAGGGAAGGACUCAGCUGGUCAAAAUCUUUGUCUUUAUGUUAAAACGCAUUUAUUCUGUAGGGCAAAAUGUAACCAAAAAAAAAAAAAAAAAAGAAGAAAGUGUGUAUGAGUAUGUAGAACCCUGGUAAUUUAGACUUCAGCAGGUCAUGUUGCUGCAAAGGCUUAAGAGCUAGUUCACACUGUUAUUGAAUAAAAGCAAAAAGUAUAGUUACCAUAGCAACGGCCACAACGCAUGAUGCUGAUAUUUCCCUCUGAGAUUUUAAAGCCCUACACAAUUUUAAGGAAACAUGCACUGAAAUAUCUUAGGUACACUUGUAGGACUUUAUGUUUUCUGUUAAAAUGUGGUAGAUUUGAUGUAUUCAUCAGCAGCUAUUUCUGAUGAGCGAUUUUAAACAAGGCUAAGAAAACAGUUGCAUGAGUACUAACAGUUUGUACGUAAACUCUAUAGAGUUCCAUUGUCAGUUGCUACCAGAAAGGUAUAUUUUCUUGUUUUCCUAUGUUUUCAAACAGAAAGGAAAAUGAGAAUCUGUGUAAAGGAAGUCUCUUGCUCUUUCCCUCUGGAGUGGCAAGUCCUAGACAGGUUUUGUGGGUCAACUCCUGGACUACCUUGGAUUAACCAUUUGGGAAAGUGGAGAAUAUGGGAUAUGGGUUAUCAUAUCAGGUUAAAACCCAAACAAAAGGUAGGAGCUUAGAGUAUUAUCUUUAUGUUAGUUGAUGAUUCACACCUAUGUUUCAACGGUUUAUAUGGAAUAAACAAUACUUAUAACUCCUCUAUCACAGAAGACAAAAACAUAUACACUUCUGUUAUCUUUUAAAAAAACGCCUUCCAGCUAUCCUUACUUUUGGAAGAAAUUCUAGGGAGACAACCCAAGAUUACUUUGUUUUGGCAUAGAGGAAUUACAGCUGGUAAAGAAAGUUAUUAUGACGCAUAGUUCUACUGGUGGCACAGUCUUCUUAGAAUAAAUGUAAAUGCAAUUUUUAGAACAGUUCGGACUUCAGAGAUCUCUUACUGUUUGUUUGCAGAGCAGGCUUAAUAUUCACUGAAAUUUUAUUCAAUUUCCAUUGGCUUACACAAGUGCUUUGGUUCAAUUACCACUUGAUCAGACUUUUAACUUUUUAUGCUUAACCAGUGUUGUUGGAUUUUUUAUAGACUGCUGUGAAAACAUCAGUGCUGAUGUACACUUCUGCAUGUGGAAUAUUAGCUUAGAAAGUGCAUUUGUUUUUUCUUAGUUAAGUUUUCCAAAUGUCUCAGAAGCAAGCCACAGAGUCUGCAGGUUGAAAAUAUUUGCCCUGAAAUAUUAAACAGCAUUGAUGUAGUCUGUAUAAUAAUUAUUGCAUUUUACCUCUGCAGUUGAUACAGAUAUAGCCAUAUAUAGGUAUCAAAUAGGUUGAUAUAUAAAUGGAAAAUACUAUUAUUUAAUUUUAAUAAUAAUCCAUUGUAGAAGAGACUUAUAUUGAGACAGAGCAGCAAAUGUCUGAGGAAACAUUUGAGUCAGGUAGAUAUUAUUGACAGUGAGUAAUGGUUUCAUAUAACACAAAAUGUCAGAAGAAUAAUUUACAGAUAAUAUUAGGAAGGGUAAAUGAGCAGACAAUGGUUCAAAGUGAAAAUAAGCUCAAGGUGCAGUGAUCCAAAAAUUAUAUUUGAAGGCUAUAUAAUGCAAAUACAAAGCUGGCAGGGCUGCAUCCCUUUGAAAUAGAAGGAACUGUGCAGCCUAAUUGUUAAAUAUGGCUCCAUUUACUGAACAAAGAGUGUUAUCAGCAAGACAAGAAGAAAGCUAAGAAGAAAGCACUAGUUUAUACUGCAGGUAGUCACCCCUCAAAAAAUGGGCAGAACAAAGACCAUGGAUUUGUACAGUCCCAUUGAAAUUCUUAGGGAUUAUCUGGUACAAGGGCCAGAUCAGUUUUCAUAUCAUUACAUAUAAUGCUGAAAAUAACGGUUUGGUUGUUCUCCCUACAGUGAUAAGACACACAUUUCCUUUUCCUUAUGAAUGGAGAUAUCUUCUCAAUUACAUUCAUCUGUACAUCUCUGGACUGUGUAACAAGUUUAUUUUUGAGUCACUCAUUUAACAGGUGCUUGAAAGCAACACAAAGGUACUGUGAAAUUGUUGAUGAGUUGGUUUGGUUGGUUUAGUACCAAAAGCAUUCAGUUAGACCCGAUCAGGGUUCAACAAGGAGAGGGAGAUAAAUUUUGGAUCAGAGGACUGUUGCUGGAAAACAGAAGCCCUUUUUUUUUUUCUUUCCACUGGGACGUAGGACUAGAUCACUGAACCCAGUCACUUGCCAGUUUUGCCAAAUAUAUAUAUAUGCAUAGAUAUAAUAACAUCAAUUUUGAAAGUAGUUAAGACGUUGUCUUCCACUUUUCAUAUUGGACAGUUACCACAGAAAUUAAUGAGUGAUGGUUAGCACCUUCCUUUCAGGUUCCAGCCUAAAGAUACUGCUGACCAAUGCAGAAACCUUUAUGCUUAUUCCAGUAUUAUUCUGUGGCCUUUCACCUUCCCUCUAGUAUUCUGAGGAGUGACAUUAACUUUUUAUUUUUUGUAGCUUUUGUCUUUAUUUAUUUGCCUUGAAUUUUUGUGACUUGUGAUUGGGACUUUUAGUUUCAGUGUUAUAGAAUAGGUAUUUUUCUUGAUUAACCUUGUGGCAGUUGCACACGCCCCAAGAUAUCUGGAGUUUUCAAUAAGGCAGUUGAUGGUUCUUUAGCACCUUUUAUGCACCACUAUGCCUGUCCUCACAUACACACCUGUUGUGAGUGAAUGCCUGCACACUGUGCAUCGUUAUUCUUGUGUGAUCGUAUGGUAAUAAUAUCACCAACUAGUAUAUCAAACCUGCAGUUUUAUUAAAUGUUGCUGGAGUGCUGACUGAUUUUGUAUUACCCCCCUGCUGACAUUGGUUUCUUCAUUUGGUUUCAGUCUUUCAUUUGGUUUCUGUUUCGUUUCUGAGUUAAAGUUAGUUUAAGGUUAUUAUUUGCUUGAAGUCAUUGUGGGGUGCCUCCAUGACAAACCUACUUACCUUCUUAUGUAAGUGUCUGAGCCUCAUUUCAACAUUUCUGCAUACAGCCAUAUCCCUAAUAAAAAAACCAAAAAAAACACAACAAACAAAUACACAAACAAAAAAGCACAAACAAACAAACUUCAGGAGAUGGACUGAAUUAAAAAUAGAAAAAUAAACUUCAUAUAGCAUAACUACAUCAUAGUAGUGAGAGAUAUGCUCAGGAGUUUCAACAGAUUGCAAGGUGAGAUAACACAAAACCUUACUCCCUACUUUUUUCUGGUAGAUGAGAGAGUAACAUUAUUUUUAGUUUCCAUAUAGAGCAUAUGUGUUUGCCAAAAUCUUACCAUUUACUGUUCUUCCAUGGUGCACAUAUAGUACAGUGCUAGGCUCCUCUUGCCUUUUUUUCUCUUGGUUGUGCAGCCGUUAAACCAGCUAGCACAGUUUCUGUCCCUUUAACAUACUGCUGCUGUCCCAGUAUACAUACUAUCUUUUAUUAAAUCCAUAAUUCAUAUUUCUUAGCUUCUUUUCUCACAUCAGGAGUUGUAAGCAAGCAUAGUAAUGACACACAUCAGGAAUUAUAAGCAAGGAUGGUAAUGAUAUAAGGAUGUUGCAACAAACAAAAUGUUGUGCAAGUGCAAUGCUGCUCCCCAUGAGCCUCCAUAUAACUCCCUUGGCUGUGUGCUGAAGAAUCACAGACCAAAAAUGCUUCCAGCUACACAAAUGUUUUGGGGAUUUGGAUCUUUAGAAUGAAAGGUUUUGUUUGUGUGUUUUCAAGUUCUCACUGCCCAUCGUACAUUGCACAAAGAUAGCAAGGAAGCUGGGGAAAGAUAUUGUAUCCUGUUUUCUUCAGCUACUAUUGUAGCAGGUUAUCAAGAUAAAAUGGGUUUAAUUUUAUGGAAAUGGUUCAAAAAAUGCUUGCAUAUUUAACCUCAAAAUCUUUGUUGUAGAAGUGGAUGAUCACACAUACUUAUUUACUCUUUUUCUGCUACUGAAAAAUCACUUCCAUGUAAAGAGGAAACAUGGAGAUAUGCGCAUUACUAUGUAGGUCAACUAUUAAUUGGUUUCAAAGGGCUUUAUUCUUUAAAAGAAAUCAUCCUUUUAUACUUACAGAAGACAUUUGUUCCAUUUGCAGUAUAAAUUGGGACACAGGCAGUUUCCUUUGUUGUUCUUCAAACCGUGAUGAGUAAGCAAGCCCAUUAACUCGAUGAGCGAUAUAGUGAAGUCUUUUUGCAAAAUACUUCAGAAGAAGAGCAGAAAAAUCUCCAGAGAGCAUCAGAGGGACUAAAUGACUCCAGAGGUUGAUUGCAUCAGAGCUUCUAUAACUGUUCUUAAAUGGGUGAAAUUCCUAAUGAAUGGGCAAUGAUCAUUACUAGCUGCUGACCCAACUUUCUGGUGACUACCUGACUACUAACAAUGCCUCUUAGGUAUGAAGAAAAUACAUGAUGCGUUGGGAAGAUGCCUGGCUGCCUGAGCCUUUUCUAUCUAUUAAAUUAAUGAAAUGGACCACAAAUGACAUUAUUUCAUUGCUCUCACCACCAGUGUUUUGCUCCACCAGUACCCAAUAGUACCUGCCAGUUCUUCCAGGAGAAAACUAGAAAUAAUUGAGAACUGAUUUCCGAUGUAAUAAAUUAACAUCGCUAGUCCGGUAACUGGAACAGAAAACCAGAUAGGCUCUACUCAGGUUGAUUUUAUCACUACUUCAGCACAACAGGAACCAAGGUGAGAAAAAUAAGAAAAGAAAUCCCUAUCCAUGACUUCCAUAGAACUGUUUCCCACUUAUAAAUUUCUGUUGAUUGACAAUACUAAUCUUGUCCAGCAGGGCCAAAUAGCCAUUUCUGUACCUAUGCCAAUGAUAUUACUUAAGAAUCUGAUUUAUAUUCUCUUCAAGUUGAAGAAAUACUUGCUCUCAGUUGUUACAAACUGUCAUAUAUGUAAAAGCCACUUGGUGCUGAUAGUUAUAAAGAAAAGAUCAAUAAAGCAAGCAGAGCAAUUGGCCAGUGCAACAGAUCAGAAAGCGUAAUUUGGCCUUGUAGAACAACAUGAGAACUCAGCCUCAAAAAAAAAAAACACCUUCCAGAGAGGACACAGGAAAUUUAAAUUUAUAUCCUUCUCUAUAGGGAAAAAAGAGGGCUCUUUACAUGCUGAAUUCUAUUAUCAAUAAGUGUCCAAGAUACUGAAAAUAUCUACAAUCUUAAAAAUGCAAAGAUCUGAUCAUAAAAAUUUACACAGUGGAAAUGUGGAAAUAACUCAGACACUUGAUUGUUAUGAACAUUUCUGUUCCAUUUCUUUAAUAAGCUCCACUUAACCAAGACGAACAAUCUAUAGAAAGUAGCUGAACUAAAUGCAGGUAGUGACUAAGCUGACCUGGAACGCACAAGCAAAGUUCCUCAGUUAACACUCAAGCACUCUUUUGUUUCUAUAUAUGGGUUGUAAAUGUCAUUUGGGGAAAAAAAAUAAUGAACAGCCUUCUGUUGUACACAAUUAAAACACCAGUAUUGUCAAAGGCACCUAUACUCGGAAAUGUAUUGUUAUUUCCCAUUAUCACUGUGAAUAUUUUCUUCUAUCCCUAUAACUUAAUUCUCUGUCCUUAGCUUCCCUGCUAACUGGGAUCAGAUAAUAUAUUUUUGAAGCCAAUACUUCUUUUUUAAUACCAAGACUUUUCAGCAGAGUGAUUUAACACAUUUUAGUUGCCUCAUUUACCAACAUCACUCAAAAAACUUAAAUCUAUUUGCAAACAUUACUGUGCGAAAUCUUACUACAGUGAAGUCAGCAAAAUGAGCUGCAAGGUGCUGAAAUUCCCACAUACUCUUCCUCGAUUUCUAUAGAACCAGGAUUUCCCCCUGUUGUGUUUAUUGCUGAGUGAAUGGAGUUAGAGCCUAUAAGCAAUUUUCCACUGUGUAGAUGUUUCUGUAACAAAACUACAACAAUUUCCUACUGAAAGUGAGAGUAACUAAGGGUUAAGAGAGGAGUUGUAGCUUAUUUUUAAAUACAAGCAGGUGAGACUUAUUGUAACAUAAGAACACUUUUUUUUUUUGUUUGUUUUUGUUUAACUUAAUAUGGUUGAAAAGUAUGUAUCUAAUUAUGCUGGAACCAUUCAAUUUACACCUAACUAGGUGUGUGUUUGUAGUGAUAUAAAGUUCUGAAGAAAAACUGUGUGUGCAGGCUAGGUAGAUGUCCAGUGAAGGCCGGACAAAUAGACCUAAAUAAGAAAGAUGUGGCUAUGAAUUGGUGAUUUGAGGACAGUUCCCUCGAAAAUGUCUUCAGUCCAUUAAUGGCCAGGACAUGGAUGAUUUUUCUUCAGGGUGACAAGUCAAACUUUUCUCCAAAUUUCAGUAACGAGGAAGGACAAACUCUACCUUUUGUUAUAGUAUCACCCAAUUUUAGGAUAAAAAAGUGAUAGGACAAGUACAAGCCUUUAACUAAUAGUUAUCAUUUUAAUAAAUGUCAUCAUGUAAGUAGCUAAAUGACAAGAAAAAAAUAAUACAAGUAAUGCAUUUGUGGUAGGUAGUUCACAGGAUUCACUGUCUUCUGUACUUAAAUUUAUUCAGGAAAAUCAGAGCAGGGGUUGUCUCAUAGCACAUAUGUGCAGUGCAUGGCAAAUUUGAACACACACAAGUUGGGCCACAAAGAACUACUAUUAUUCAGUCAUAAAAUAAUAACUUUAUAAGAAAUACUUUACCGUGAUAUCUUAAAGCGUUUUUAGCAGUAAUCUCUCAGUGGAGAAAGGCCUGACUUGACCACUAGUCUUCCUUUUAUUUAGUACCAGGUACUGAAGUGCAGGUACUUGGGCUAAGUAGCAUCUUAGUGUCAACCUUUGUAACACUGAGUCUUUUAUACCUGGAAGCCAGUACUGCUAUAAAUGACAAGUCACAGGAGCUCAAAUGGCUCUUUCACUACAUCCAUAGUGUACAUACACAUGCAGGAAUGAGCCACCGUCCAUAAGCCUUGUAGCUCCUAGACAUACACAUCUGCAGUGUAGUUUCUAGAAUAUAACUGCAGGCAGUAUGGAAAUUGUAUCAUGAGAAUAUCUAGGGAAGCAUAUGUAAAAUAAAGAGCAAUUGCUGUGUGAGAAAGCCCUCAGGUUGGAAUCCAGUGCAAGAGCUUUAUGGGUUUCAGAAAUAAAAUACCUUAAAUGGUGCUAAAAGAUAUUAACUGAAUGUUUUUGCAUAGAAAACAUCCAUUACUUAUUAAACAUCAGAUUAAGAAACUUUUAAAUUAAGUGAUAAUCAAAGGCCUGUUAUUGCUUUAUGUCACAAACAGGCUGGUUUUCUCAGCCAGCCUGUUCUGGCUUAUGAAGAAAACAGAAAAAGCAUUUCAAUUGAUCGAGUUUGUUAUCAAAGAAAACACCCCUGAAGAGAAAGUUUCUUUGCUCCUUCUCACUUUGUCUUUCUCAGUGUGAAUUUUAUUUAAUGAUUUACUUCAAUGCCAGAGGAGUGAUAGUGAUUAAGGCCUAGGAUGGGCCUUGAGGAAGGAUUGAUUCUGCCCGUUAUAUUCUUCUGUGCUUCUAUACUUAACAUUUUGGCUACAUGAUCUGCUUGAAUCCUAAGCUUUGGGAAAAUGAUGAUUUUCCUACUAUAGCUAGUGUUCAUCUAGCAUCAUGGGAAUCUUUAAAGCCUUUUAGUAUUUUUUUUAAUUAUAAAGAUGUUUUCCAUAUCUGUAGUCUGGUUCAUCUGUAAUUGUUUUUUAUGGCACUUGACACGAAUGAUUAAUGCUAACUUCCUUUCAGGACUUCAGCAUAUCUGUUGUAGCAUGGAUAAAGCCAAAAAGUUGAUGCUGCUUAGGUAUCUCAGGGACCUAGAACAUCUCCAAAACACAAGUAAAUGAAUGCCCUUUCCAGCAACCAGGAUGUCAGAGGAGAACUGGAAAAUUACUCAGUUGUGUAGCAUUGUAGAGCAACUAACACAUCUUUAAAAUUAAUCUGUGGGAUAACAAUAACUUGAAACUAUCUAUUUAUGUGAAUCCUUUCCUCUUUUGUCCCAACUGCAUGAGUUUUAUCUCUAUAUGUUAUUUGUUAGACUCUUUCAGUUCGGAAGCUUGUAGACCUUGAGAGAGCUGCUGAUCACCAGCUAAUGGCUACCUGUGGCAUUUCUGACUUCAGGAAGAGAAGCAAUGUGAGAGAGUUCUUUCCUCCUCAGUCUCUUAUUAGGUAGAUCAUGAAUUAUUAGUAUCUAAAUUACCUUUAAGUGCAAUCAUUUAGUUUUACCAGAAGCACUUAAAGACAUCAGAUGUGAUGUGUGUUUUAAACAUGACGCUGAAAGUAAGGUGAAGCUCUUUAGAUGCUUACCUCAGGGCCAGUUUCAGAGUCUCUUGCUUUGUAGUUUUCAAUGAUCUGUUUAAUAAGCUUAUGUUAUGCAGUAUAGAGUUGUAACUGAAUCUGAUUAUACAUGUCCUAAAGGGAAAACUCCCAGAACACGAUCAAUCUUUCAGGGAUUUAAAGUGUGAUUUAUAUAAUUUACAAGCUGUGUUUAAUACAAACUAUCAUCACACUUACCUUUUUUUUUUAGAACAUCUCUAAGGUUCAAAGAGUUGUACAAACACUGAUAAUUAACUCUGGGAUUUUCAAAGAGGUCCAAAAGAGAGCCACCCAUAUGCAGCUGAAUUGGCUAGGUAACUCCUGAAACCUUUCCGAAAAAUCCUAUCUUUGGCUAUUUUAAGCACAACUCUGCCCUUGAGAGUAGAAUAUACUUUGUUACUUGCCUUAUCCAUUUUUUCUCUGCAAGUCUUAGUAUGAAAGAUUCCAGCUGACCAAUGCCUUUUUGUAAUAAAUAAGAUUUUCGAAGGAUGACUUGAUCCCAAUCUAUAAGAACAAGAACAAGCCUCUUUUUUAAGAGGCUCUUCAUAACAUCAGAUAUUACAAGGUCCACUGGAAAUGUUGAAGUGUCAAGAUGAAAAUAUGAAAUGCUUUUAAUAGUAAAGAUGAUUAACACUUACAAUAAUUUAAUGUCAAUUGCUAGAUAUUUUCCAUGCUCAGUAAUAGCAGAUAUAUUUAUCCACAACUCAUGUUAUAUUUUGAUAAAAAACAGAUUCUUAAAACUGUGUUAUAAGCAGUCAGACUUAACGAUCACAUCAACCCUUUUUAAUUUUAUGACUCCUGAUUCUUUUUUCUAUGUCAAGCCUCAUUUGCUCACAUUUUGACUGUCUUUAUACUUACUAUAGGAAUCUUUGAUUUAUUAUCUGAAACGGUAAGCAGAUGCUUAAAAAUGGAACAUGGGUCCUUCACACAGGGUUGCAUUUCACUCUCGUUUCAAUUAAUUCGCGUUUGAUGUCUGAUGGAGAAUUUCCAGGUCAUAGAAUCAAUCAUAGAAUCAUUUCAGUUGGAAGGGACCCUCAGGAUCAUCAGGUCCAACCAUAACCUAACGUACCUCUAGCACUAAACCAUGUCCCAUGUCCCUAAGAACCUCAUCUAAACGUGUUUUAAACCCCUCUAGGGAUGGUGAGUCCACCACUGCCUUGGGCAGCCUGUUCCAAUGUCUGACAACCCUUUCCCUGAAGAAUUUUUUUCCCUAAUAUCCACUCUCCCUGACGCAACUUGAGGCCAUUUCUUAUUGUCCUGUCACUUGCUACUUGGCAAGCCCAAUUGUAAAGUUAUGAGGUAUCACUGCUAUACACAAUACAACUGCAUCAGGGCAUCAUCAUUCCAGACAACAUCUUAUGACAGUGGGAAAAGACAGAGACCUUCUCCAAUAGAAACCUUUCAAGAACACCUAUUCCAUUACUUGAACCAGGCCAAUACCUGCUUUUCUGUAUUCAUCCUCUUUCUGAUUUUGUUUCCUUUCUUAGCUGGCACAAGGUUUUCCCAUGCAAACUCUUCCCUGGACAAUUAUGUUUCAAGUAACCCAUAUAAGGGAUAGAAAUAUUUAGAGAGAAGAAAAAAAAGGUUGGGGUGCUAUUUGUGAAGGAAUGGGAAAUUGUUGGGGAAGAAAAGCGGAAAAACAUGGUGUCAGAAACACUAUUCAAUUUUUAUCUUCUUGCCUGUCAUAAGAAACAACAAGGUUGUUAUAGGUGUUAAGAGUUCAUGUACUCAGUGCUUUUAACUUGGCUCUAAUUGAAAAAUGUAACUGAUAAUCUUGAGAACUGAAAGCACAGUUUUCAAAGCAAGAACUUUAAACUAUAAGGGUGAGUAUAAGACUGUUCUGUAAGUCUAAAGGCUGGGUAACUUUUUUUUGAGAAGCUUCCAUGCCCCAUAUUCUGCUACAAGUUACAUUCAUGACUGAGCAUUUGAUGGUGAGCCAUGGAAACCAGAAGUUGUAUAUAGACAGUAAGUGGAAACACUGUCCUGCACUUAACAGUGUUUGUUGGAACAGUGUAGGACAUUUUUAUAAUUCUUUAAAGAUUUUCUCUUUCUGCUUCACAGCACUGGUCCUUCCAGAGACAGACAAAAUAACAUAAAAUAUCCAGGUGGCAUUGGAGACUUCCAUAUAGUAUGAACAAAUAAAAACUUAAACCUGGAUUUUCCAUAGGUACACUGUUUGCCCUACUCACUGGAUGGGCCACCCCACACACUCAGCUUCUAAUGGGGCUCUUAUGUUGUGGCUCUGGUCCCCUGAGGAGAAUUAAGCAGGCCCUGUCAAUGUUGUUCUCUUUAUAGCCAGAUGUUGUAGCAGACAGGAAGUGGUCAUUACUCAGCUUCUGAAGCACUUGUUUCCCAGCAUGAUUGCUCACAUCUGUAACUUCAAUGUCAAUGGGUAGACCACUGUAUCACUUUUUUCUGCAUAACAAAGUGUCACUCACCUUUGUUGCUCCUGUCUUCCGUUUAACAGUAGAAAAGACCUUGUGACUAAUGCAUUGAUUACAUAUCAGCAACUUUGCUUCAUUGAAUGUUCCAAACCCGGAACCUCCAGGUUUUGAUAUACCACAUGCAGCUUAAUGUUUGGUUAUGGUGUGUAGUAAUUAAUAAAAUGAAUAAACACAACAGUAACAGAGUAGCAUGACAGCAUGAUAAUAGUGACCUGCUAUGCUAAAUUCUCAGCCCUGAUUUUCUCUGAAAGAUUCCGGGUAGCAAAACCCGUACACGACCCUGUAUUGAAUUAUCUUGACAGGCCUCACAAUAGAAAUUACUUGGAAUAUUAUAGGUCCAACUCUUUUCUCAUGUAACAUCCAUGUUCCAAAAAUCAGAAAUUGGUUCAGACUGAAUGUGUGACUUUUCCUGCAAACUAAUAAACUCUCCUUACAUUGCUGGCCUGUUAUACACACAUUUUACAAUCUGAAGGAGCAAUCUUUGCUAAAGAGAAACAUAAGUAAGUUCUUAUUUUGGCAGUUUUAUUCUAAAUUAUGUUGCAAGAUAACAGAUGAGCAAUUUUAUCCAUUGACAAAUGGGUUUGAUCGGACUACUGCAAUGGUUCAUUAACCUCAUGAUAAGUUUGGGCUAUCUCAGAAGUGUUCUUGCUGUGAAUUUAGAUUUGAUGAUGGCUCACACAUCAAGGAAACAAAUUGCCUCAUCUUUUAUAGGAAAAAGGGGGGGUUUAAAGAAGUUAAUUGAUGUCUUUUACAUCUUAGAACUAAUAAAGCAUUUUUUCUUCUAUAUAUUGCUUUCUAAUUUUUAUGAGAGACAUUAGACAGACAGAAUGCCAACAGAACAGAUUACUUUAGUUCUGUUGUUACCAAUUAGAGGGAGUCAAAGAACUCUGAUUACAAUUAUCAGAUUUUAAUGAGCAAUUGUCUGUCAAGAUUUUUUCACAACUCUAAGGAUACGUGCACGAUUUGUAUGCAGUGUACGGGUACCUUUGUAUAGUGAGCUUUUCUUUAGAUAAUCAGUACCUGAUUUUUAACUAUUAGUAUUCACUAGGCAUUUUGAGGAAUUAUUUUUUGAUCUCUUGGAAGAGCUACUGCCUCUCUUGUUUAAGCUAAUAAAAUAUUGACUAACAAAAUAUUAAAAUUGUAAUGUUAGGAAAAGCAAAAAUUAAUUUUAGAAAUCUGCUGAUACAAGCCUACAUUGAUUCAAUAUGUUAAAUGAAAUUGGGGUGAUCCACACCAGCCAAAUAUUUCCACGUCUACCCAAUACUUUUUCAUCAAUCUGCUUCAUCUUUAAAGAUAACUUAGUAGAGGUGCUGAAUUUAAAAACUUAAAGUUCAGAUUACAAUACAGAUCUUAGCUAUUAUAUUUAUUUUUACUUAGAGUAAAUAAUACAGUGGGAAAUUAGGAAAUACUAGCUUUAAUGUUUCCACAUUAGACUACAAAUAAAUGUCCACUUCAACCUCCAGACAACUCAAUUCCAUAAUGGUGACCUUGUGCUACCUACUUCAUCAGAUAUGGUUUUUGAAAGUAGCUUUGCUUGAAACACUCCAAAUGAUGGAUGUUAAUCAAGAAAUUAAUUAUGUAUUUGUACUGAACAGGCUGUACUUUAAGACCCAAGCUUUAUUUAGUGAAGUAGCAAGAUAGACAGAGAAAGAGAUUCUAAGCCCUUUGUGACAGUGAAACUCAUAUAUGAAGUAGUUUGAGUAUGGGAAGGAUAGUAUUUUCAUUGCUUAUUCUGGAUAAUUGUUGUAAAUACCCUGAAUCUCUAUUUGGUAGCAUCCUGCUUCUCUCCAAUUUCUGUGUAAGAAAUGUGGGAUUCUAGGACUGCCAGGUAAAUUAGGGACCUAAUUUGCUGUUCAGCACGAGUGCUCUAAAUCUUUCUCUUGAGCACGUAACUCACUUAGACUUUUGAGAAAAGGAGAAACAUGCUCAAUGAGUGUCAAUUUAUGUAUUCUUCUAUCUCCUUCUCCCCCACCCCAGUUUUUUUUUUAAUUCUCUGGCCCAUUUCAGCUAAAUUUUACACAUGGGAUAGUGGUAUGAGGGUUAUGAAGUUCUUACAUAUCCUAUGAAAAUCAGAGACUGAGAAAAGAGCACCUACUACUGAAGGGAAGACGGCAAUGUGAGUUCUCAUUAAACACUACACAAUCCACAUACAAAAGUGAAAAACAGAUUAUGAAAGCCCCAACCACAGAACUGUCUUUAAGCAAAGUUUAUGAGAUAGUAGAAUACUCAUCCGUGAGCUGUAUUUGUUAUGCAGCUUUCAAAAACUUAGGCACAAACUUUGUGUUUUCUGUUGAUAUUUUUCCUAAUGUUGAAGCAUGAUUUUUUUUCCUCAAAACUGAAACAGUACAAUUCAGCUUAUUAAGAUCUGAACAAAUGCUUUCUUUUUUCCCUUGUAUUAUAUAGAAUAAGGAUGGGUUUAAAAAGUAACCAGUUGUCCUUUUUCCUUCCUUUGAAAACAACUCUUCAUUGUCUUCCUAGACAACAUUUUAUUAAGUAUUAAUAUUUAUGGUUUAAUAUUUAGCGAGGCUGAAAGGCUUACCUGUUUUUUACCAAUAAACAGUAUUUUAUUUCUGGUCUAAUGUAGUCUUUAGAAAUGUAUGGUGGCUCACUCCUGCCACCUUCCUUGGUGAUAAACUAGAUAAAGCUUCACAUGAAUCCUGCUUUUAUGGCCUAUUCUUGUCUUCUCUUUCUAAGUGAUAUAGUGCAGAAUGAAGGUCUUAUUCUGAAACUGUCAUUAUUACUGAGGAGGGUGUUAUGCCAUUGAAUGUCUCCAUUAAAACAGAUAUGGCUACUUCAGAAAUAAGGCACUACUUGAUUUGAGUUAAUGGAAACACUGCUUUCAUAAUGUCACCUUGCUACAAGGGUUGAAGUUAAAAACAAAGGAGCUACAAAUAAUGAAUAGGCACAGAUGUCAAAUUCUGUCACCAUUCAUUUAAAAAUCUACCAGAACAUAGCAUGAAACUUCAUUGCAAAUGCUCAUGGGACUAGUAGGCCUUGAAAUGGUUCUGAUGUGUCGUUAGACAUGGUAUGUUCCAUUUUGUUCUGCUUUUUGUUUGCUUUUCAUUGAUAAGUCUGGUUUAGACAGUUUGUAACCAACUACAUUUAGACACACCAGAUUCACCAUCCCCUAGAUAAUUCAUUUAGGCUGUGGAUGAAGUUUUACUUGCAGGAUUGCAAUUGCAAGUUGAAGCUAACCUGGUCUGAUCAAAGAGCAUAAACCUAAUUGAGGAAUUUUAUAGUAAUAAUGUGAAAAAGAGCAUUUUCUUGCAUCUUUGUCAAUCCAUUGCAAAUAAACACCUACAUUUUGUUCCCUGUUGUAUACUAGAACUGAGAUAAAACCAUUUGGUUUUACCGCUGUAUGUGGGUUCCUUAAGCUUUGACUCUGAAUACACAGGAUUUGCAUCAGACACAUUUCAGUGGUAAAGUCUUGGUCCAACCAUUCUUGAUUAACAGAGUUAAUGUUAAAAGAAAAAACAAUCUGCUGCUAUCUUUGGUCAGCAGACAUUACCAGUCCUUAGAAAGACAGAGGAAAUGGUAUCUUUGAAUAGUAGCAAUUUCUGGUUGAUGACACCUUCAGAGUGUCACAAUUAAUACAGUUCUUUAUGUUUGGAUUCAUAUCUGCAGACACAUUAUGUCUGUGUCACCUAUUCAAAUGAGACUCAUCUGUCCUAUUUUAUCUGUGCAAGGAUGAUGUGACCAUCCCAACUACUUUUAAUGUCUACUUUAUGAUUAGAUGGACUGUUCUGUGAAGGUGCCCACCUUUUCCACUAACUACAUGAGACCUAAAACGUGUCUUCAACUUAUAUAGCUAAAAUUAGGUAAUGGGUCCUCUUUUCCCUGUAGUUAUCUACCUAAGCAUUAGCACAUGUGAAUGCAUGACUUUUUACAGUUCUACCUCUUUUCAGGUUUAGGAAUUUGAAAAGGUAAUUAAAAAAAUGAAAGAAUAUGGUUUUCUUGUCCAUUCCUGCACAAUGUACUGACACAUUAAUGCACGAUUUUCCAAAAAUUGCCUUUUAAAAGCAAAAUGCUUACACUGAUUCUUUAAGGUGCUAAAAUUACUUUUCUAAAUUUCUGAAAUCUUACUGAAUUUUGUAAUAAAAAAAUCCUGUGUUUUCUUAUCACUAGAUAAUUUUACUAUUUCUUACAUUUUUCCUGUGACUGAUGGACUGCACAAACUCAAAUGAUCUAAACUCUGACAGUGCUUUAUCAUGACAGCAUAGGAUUCCUUGAGCACUAUGCAGCAAAUUAUUUCACAGUGUCAUCGUGUUUCUGUUAUUAUUAUUUUGAAUCUAACAAAGCUGCAUAUCUGGCUUAGGUCCCAAAUACCCCAGAUAGUUGUACAGAUCCCACAGCCUGGCAAUGUUUAUCAUGAUGCCAUUUGAAGGAGGACAAUCUCGUAUUAUCCCUGCUGCACAGAUGUAGAAGUGGGACUCUGAGGGCUUAUUCGAAACAACUGCCUUAGCAAAAGUACCUGACUUCAGAGUUCCUAAAGAGGGGAAAAGUGCUCUAGCUGAGGAAGCAGUAGCAUUCCUUCCUUAGGCAAAGCUAUCUAUUAUGAAUAACCCCCUUGAAAGAACGAUGCCUUGUUUCUCAAACAAUUUAGUUGUCUGAAUUCCACUUAUCUAAAGUGCACAUCAGGCACUUUGAUGAACUGGACCUAAACAAAUAAUUUGUGAUCGUUCCAACAACCUAUGCUUAAAAUAAUGUUUUCAUGUUAGUGUUGCUGGCCAUAUAGUUGGCUAAAUUUCUUUACAAGCUGAGAAUUAGAACUGUUAUUUUAUUCCUGUUGGUUAGAAGCGUUCUAUUUAGAUUUUUUUUUGUCACAUUAAUGGAACAGAUUUUUAGGAAUGAAAGGCCAGCUGUUUGAAUUGUCACUCAACUGAAUCUGUCAUUCUUAAAGUCAAUCAAAAGGCAGUGUUCUACUUUGAAGAAAUAUUAUGUCUAAUUAUAAAAUUUCAAGGUAAUAAUCUUUGGGAAAAAAAAAUCCAUCAUGUUCUGAAGAAGCAGUUCAAACUUUCUGAUAAUAUCUUUUUUUUUUUUUCAAAGAGUUAGUUUGAUUAUUAUAAUGAGGAAACAUUCAUGAAUGGGAUUAUGUCCACUGGUAUCCUACAAGGAUUCAUGCUAGAUUGAUAGACUUUGUUUUACUGACACAAAGAUGAUUGAAUUAGUAAAUUAAGAAAAGUCACAUUAUGUCUGAAAAAUUGUCUGUGUGUUGUAGUUAAAUGGUUGCAACAGUACAGGACAUGUUUUAAUAAAGCCAAAAGAAAAAAUAAAUAACAUGGGAAACAGGAAUAAAGGUCAGAACUAAAGAAGCAGGUCUGCAAAUCACACAGCAAAUUGCUGGCAGGAUGGAUUUGUUCAUUUCAGUACUGGAAGCUGAGCUUUGAUUAUGGAAAUAGUAACUUUUCACUGACUAAGUAUCAGGCAGCACGCACUGGUGCCUGCCUGCACCUGCCUGCGUGGGCAGCCCUGACCUGUCACUUGUCUGCAGCCUCGGAACCUGCUAAAGGAGUGGAAGAGAAGUUGAGCAUCUCCUGUCAGAGGUGCAGAAUGGGCAAACACCCCAGUCACCAACUCCAGUAAUAUGCUCCUGGGGGAACGAGAGCAAAAGCAGAUAUGCAAAAUUAAUAAGGUCUUCAGACUCUGGUCCCUUCUUUAACUGUAAGAGACACAUACGGAAAAUAACUCUUACUAUUCUUCUUUGAUAAGCAUAUUAAUAACCUGAGAUUAUCCAAACUGAGGUGGAUGUCACACAACCAAUAGGUACAUUUCACAUGGUUUUGUGUCAGACAUAUAUAUAUGCCUCCACAUACACCUCCGACAGAUUACAGCUUAAGCCUUUCGAGCAAGCUUACUUUGCUAAUAUUUAAGACAUGUACAGUGAUAAAUAGCUUCAUGAAUACAGAGAAAUCUGUGGAAGCUAUGAAGCUGCUGUCGGUAGAGAUAGAUUGAGUAAUAACUCUGUUCUGGGAAACGCAAGAAGGAAAGUGAAUGGUGAUUUAUUAACUCCAAUGAACAUAUACUGUUUAACAAGUAUAGCAAAUGGAAGUGAAUAAUACAUGAAAACUGCUAGGCCUUAAAUUUAGUGCAUACAAAACUGCAGAUUAAAUUCGUAGUAGUGGAAUAGUAAGUGAAGAAGCUGAAGAGUGACAGGUUGUAGUGGGUGGUGAGGACAGAAAUGAACCUGAUUACGAAUGUCUCAAUGUCAUGGAGCCUUAGGCACAAGGAAAACUAGAUUGACACUUGAAAACUGGGUAAAACUUUUCUGUCUAGCUAAGGGGCCUGUUACGUGUUACACUCGUAGUGUGUGGUGCUUAACUUAUGACUUUGUUCCAUACUGAAAAUGAGUCAUAAGUGCUGCUUCAAGCUGUUUUGAUUCUGAUGACAACUCUGAAAAUACAAAGCAACCAGGAGCUCCCUACAUCAAGCUGUUUCCUGUCCAAAUAACAUGUCAACCUGUCUAACUUCCAGGUUUCCUGGCCUGACGGGCUUUUGUGGAUUUCCUCAGGCCCUAACACCAAAAUCUCACUUUUGAGGCUAACUUCAAAAAUCUCAGCAAUUCCAAAACUCAAGCUGUGCAAGGGACAUUGAGAAGAAUGAAAUAAAUGAGUGGUGAUCUAUGAAACACUCUGGAAAACUCUGAGCUCUUGAGAUCCAGCACCACUGAUGAGUUUAAUUUACACUUUUUCUUUUUUCUUUCUUUCUCUACUGUAUCCAACCGCCCAAACCCUUUUACAAAUAAGAAAGGAAGUAGCCUGGGUGGAAAUGUUUGACUCUUCAAGUCUCAGAGAAGCGUAUGUAUCACGCUGAGAAUCCCUGCAGGGUUUCCUCUGCUGUUCAAGUCUGGAUUCCCCAUUGAAUAUAGCUUUAAUCAGCCAUUAAACACAACUCAUUCACAGAUUCAUUGUGUCGGAAGCGAGCAGGGACUACUGAAUUAUUUGGUUUGACAUCUUUAUACUGUAUGUCAUUAAACGUCACCAGUUUACUUCUGUACUGAGCCUAGUAAGCUGUAUUUGUUUAAAUUGUGCCAUCUGAAAAGGCAGUUGGAAUAUCUGAAUGGAGAGAUAUCAAAACAUAGCAAUGCAUUCCACUGGUUAAUUGUUGGCACCGAGUUCUGGAUUUCCUAUGCUCAUGCUACCCAGCAUUUUCUGUAUUAAUCAUAUUGAAAUACUCAUGGAGAAACCUGACAUUCCCAGCUUAGAUUUUCAGUGCCAGCAUGCAGAACAUGGCACAGUAUUCCCAAAUGUGAUGACGAUUGCCCAUUGAAAAUAAGAUUGUUGUAAGGUUCCCACACUUUAUCUCCAUGUAUGUUUCUGUAUUUAUAUUUAUCUUACAUCUGUUAUUUAUAACUUCACAUGUGUUGUCAGCAAGGCAUGAAUUCACAACAUUUUGGCAAAGAUUUCUUCACAGACCCAUCUUGAUUGGAAUUAACUCUAAUUCUAUCAGUUCUAGCCAUUGUAAUACUUUAUUUUGUUUAGGAUAAAUAAAUUAAUUACUUAAGCAGUCAGCAUGUUGCAAAUAAUCUGGAAUUUUUAUAGUAUUCAAAUAGUUAUUUAAAAUGUACACCAGUAAGUUAAACAUUUCAAGACAAAACUUGGGUACGAGCCUGGCUGUUUUAAAAUAUUUACCCCCAGUGGAUGUUGUUUCAUGUUUUCCUUUAUCAUUAAUGGACUAAGAAGUACUUCACUAUAUUUCAUGGGAUAUACAUCAACUUGUUUCAUUCUAAAAGGAAAAUGGAUAUAUGUAAGAGGUAUUAUUGCUUUCUCUACAGUGUUACUAACAGUUUUUCUACAUCCACCUAAUAAGUAGCCCAAAUCAGUUCUAUAUGUCAGUUUUGUUACUCACACAUUAAAGAAACAAACA